UUCUUCUCUAAAAGGUUUGAGCAGCUGAGCUGAAAACCGGGAACAGUGAGAGUCUGCGCGCUGGAGAGAGAUCCAAAGCCCCUCCCCCUCCUCUGGCCCAGGACUUGCCCUCCAACCAGGCAGGAGACUGCAGGAAACAGAUCGAUCAAAGAGGAAAGACCUACAGAUAGAGCAUUUAGGAAGAGGCUCCCCAGUGAAAGGACAAGGUUUCUUUCUGAUCCCACUACAGUGCAGUGUACCAGUGAGCAAGCCCUGUUCCUGCCGCACUCCUAAAUGAGAACAAACUGCGAGCAUCUCCACACAGCAUAAAAGCCUCACAGCCUGAGUCUGGGUUCCUGUCCCCAAGUCCAACACUUGGCCCUGCAAGAUUUCACAGUGAUGCUUCGGAUGUGGUACAUGAUGGGGAACCCAUACCUGUUCCCGCUUCUAUUUUUUAAAGCAAGAAAAUAAAGACCUGCUUAAAAGAAAAGGAACGACAAGAAGAGCCUAUUUAACUUUCUGUUUCUAUGUAACUAAAUGCCUUUCUGUUCUUGGAAUAAAAAUGAUCAUAACCAC